AUUGAACGCUGGCGGCAUGCCUUACACAUGCAAGUCGAACGGUAACAGGUUAAGCUGCCGAGUGGCGAACGGGUGAGUAAUGUAUCGGAACGUGCCCAGUCGUGGGGGAUAACUGCUCGAAAGAGCAGCUAAUACCGCAUACGACCUGAGGGUGAAAGCGGGGGAUCGCAAGACCUCGCGCGAUUGGAGCGGCCGAUAUCAGAUUAGGUAGUUGGUGAGGUAAAGGCUCACCAAGCCGACGAUCUGUAGCUGGUCUGAGAGGACGACCAGCCACACUGGGACUGAGACGCGGCCCAGACCCCGGGGGGAGGCGGCAGGGGGGAUUUGUGGACAGGGGGCGAAAGCCGUCCCCAGCCGUGCCGGGGGGGGGAGGAGGGCUUUGGGUUUGUAAACCGUUUUUGUGGGGAAAAAAAAGUUUCGGGCUAAUACCGGGGACUCAUGGGGGUACUUAAAAAAAAAGCACGGGCUAACUACGUG
rnacentral:rRNA from 1 species